rnacentral:rRNA from 1 species
CCUACGGGUGGCAGCAGUGAGGAAUAUUGGUCAAUGGACGCAAGCCUGAACCAGCCAUGCCGCGUGCAGGAAGAAGGCACUAUGAAUUGUAAACCGCUUUUGUCCGGGGGUAAAUGCUGAUACUAGUACCCGGAUGAAAGUACCUUACGAACAAGCAUCGGCUAACUCCGGGCCAGCAGCCGCGGUAAUACGGAGGGUUCAAGCGUUAUCCGGAUUUAUUGGGUUUAAAGGGUGCGUAGGCGGUCCGGUAAGUUAGGCGGGAAAUCCCGGGGCUCAACCCCGGCACAGCCUCUGAUCCUGUCGGGCUGGAGUUGAGUUGAAGUAGGCGGAAUGUACGGUGUAGCGGUGAAAUGCAUAGAGAUCAUACAGAACACCGAGUGCGAAGGCAGCGUACC